ACUAGAUCCCUAAUCUCCUUGUAUAGUUGAUGAACUUUACAUACAACUAUGAAGACCCUCUCACCUUUCUCUAAUUUUCUGAUCUCUAUUCUCUGUUUUGCUGGGUUUCUUUCGGCGGAAGCAAGAAGAGAUCCAUGAGAGUAUUGGGACGCAAUGAUGAACGGUGAUCCCAUGCUGAAAGCAAUCACGGACCUUCUGUUCGUAAAUCAAGAUCCAUCAUCGUCUCCGAAGGAUAGAUUUAUUAGAGAUUUCAAUAUCAAACCCAAUAAUCUUAUUAUAUACCACAACCAUGUAGAUGUUUAUCCCAAGAAACACGAGAUUGUUGCCAAGGAUGUUCAGCAGAAGAAAACGUAAUUUUUAGCUCUUGUGCAUGUAUGCUAUUGUCAAUAAUUGUGUGGUCUGAAAGUCACGGUAAGUCUGUUACUAAGUAAUUGUUUAUGUGAUAA